rnacentral:rRNA from 1 species
UGCGCGUGAGUGAUGAAGGCCUUAGGUUGUAAAGCUCUUUUACCAGGAAAGAUAAUGACAGUACCUGGAGAAUAAGCUCCGGCUAACUCCGUGCCAGCAGCCGCGGUAAUACGGAGGGAGCUAGCGUAGUUCGGAAUUACUGGGCGUCAAGCGCACGUAGGCGGUUACUCAAGUCAGAGGUGAAAGCCCGGGGCUCAAACCCGGAACUGCCUUUGAAACUAGGUAACUAGAAUCCUGGAGAGGUGAGUGGAAUUCCGAGUGUAGAGGUGAAAUUCGUAGAUAUUCGGAAGAACACCAGUGGCGAAGGCGGCUCACUGGACAGGUAUUGACGCUGAGGUGCGAAAGCGUGGGGAGCAAACAGGAUUAGAUACCCUGAAUAA